CCUUCUUCUUCCAUCUUUCUCCGGAGUUACUUUUCGUAAAGGGCUUUCAGGCGGUUGGCUAAGUUCGUUGUGAAAGCGCCCAGGCUUAACCGGGCGAGGACAAUGAAGACUGGUCAGCUAGAGGACGGUAGAGGGGUGUGGAAUUCCGGGUGUAGUGGUGAAAUGCGUAGAGAUCCGGAGGAACACCAGAGGCGAAGGCGACACCCUGGGCCGUACCUGACGCUAAGACGCGACAGCACGGGGAGCGAACGG
rnacentral:rRNA from 1 species